AUGGGCAAAUCACAGUAAAACAAUAGAUGACCUGCAGCUCAAGACUGAAGCAUUGUACAGCAUUCUUUUGUGGCUUUGUAUUUAUUGGCUUUCCCUUGGAGCUUCACUUUCUAGGAUUCAGCGGGUGAAGAUAGCAAACUCAUUUCUGAUUGGACUGCUUUUGCAAAUUAAAUGGCUGGAAAUUGGUACCUUUAGCUUUUUCAAAUCUGGGAAUGGUCGUGCUUGCCUAAAAUAUACUACAGUGUUGAAUAAGAGGGGUUUCACAUAGAAUGAAAUGGAUAGCAAACUAAGAUCACCUUUCUCUGAAAAACUUUAAAAACUCAGUCCACCCUGCAACGAGUGCUUGAAUUGUUGUGGUUUGCAAGUGAUUCAAUAAUCAAAAUCUUA